CAGAAGAUAAUUUAAUUUUUAUUAAAAUAUAGACUUUGGAAGUCUAAUUUGACUAAUGUCUUUUCUGA
rnacentral:tRNA from 1 species